AUACGUAGGGUGCAAGCGUUAAUCGGAAUUAAUGGGCGUAAAGCGUGCGCAGGCGGUUUUGUAAGAAAGUGGUGAAAUCCCCGGGCUCAACCUGGGAACUGCCAUUGUGACUGCAAGGCUGGAGUGGGGCUGAGGGGGUUGGAAUUCCGCGUGUAGCAGCGAAACGCGUAGAUAUGCGGAGGAACACCGAUGGCGAAGGCAAUCCCCUGGGCCUGCACUGACGCUCAUGCACGAAAGCGUGGGGAGCAAACAGGAUUAGAUACCCUGGUAGUCCACGCCCUAAACGAUGUCAACUGGUUGUUGGGGAUUUAUUUUCUCAGUAACGAAGCUAACGCGUGAAGUUGACCGCCUGGGGAGUACGGCCGCAAGGUUAAAACUCAAAGGAAUUGACGGGG
rnacentral:rRNA from 1 species